AUUGCCCAUUUUGCGGAAGCAAUCUGGGUGCAGUGAAAUGUUUUUGCUGUGCUUGUGGAAAGUCCGUGCAGUUCCUGCAUGAAACAAGCACAGGUGUAGAAAGCACACCAAGCACUAGCAGUGUUCCCGAGGAUUCACCAGUUUUGGAUGGAUCUAUUGAAUGACCUGCGAGUGUGGUCUUUUUAAUGGCAGCCAUGAACACACGUGCUUGCUUCGUUUCACGUUCAUGGAUGCCUUCCAAAAGGACCUUGAUGAGUGCAAACAGAUGUGGAACACGCACACUAUCCGAGCUUCAUGACAGUCCCAUUGUCCAUCAGGCAUACCGCAUGUGCUGUACAAGCUACCUCACAGGUUUGAUGGAAGGAAUUGUGGAUUUCCUGUUUCAGUGGAGAUAUUACAAGAGUUCACAUCAGAAGAGUAUUUCAGAGAAAUACAAAGCCAGCACAACAUACCACAACCUGGAAAUCAGCAGUGGACAACUAUAUAAAGCUCCAAAAAAUUGCUAAUGUUUGAGUCUCUCAUCACCUGGCACCUCAAAAAAUACCAAACAACUACUUAAUUCUUAUGCCCUGGGGGCCUUAAUUAAAAGGGCGAAGAGCCUGUUGUUAUCUUGAUUAUGUUCUUAUAUUCAUUUUUAUUCUCACUAAUUAAAGUAACCAAAUAACAGUUUCUCUUAUGGAAUACAUUUUGAAAUACAUGUAAUGUCAGCACAACAGCAUCCAAGACAUCAUAAUAUUGCUAUGCAUAGCUACAGCUUUUAUGUUAAGGGAAGCAAUACAAAAAGUCACAUAGCAUCUCUGCAAAAAGUGAAGAA